UCUGCAAUAUGUGAAACCCAAAUCAGAUGUAUCCCUUUUAAACUCAAACCAUCUCCCUUCCAGAUCCAAUCCUUCACCCCUUAUGUCAUGAUGGUGGUGGCCAGUCUCCCCAAGAAAGGAUCACCCCAAAAAUAAGAUCACCUAUGGCAGUAACCAGCUUUUAUUCCUAACCUCAGCUCCCAACUAUUAAGCAUUUCCUGAGGUCCAUGCUGUGCCUUUUGGUCUCUGGUUUGAUCUGGGGCAAACAGAUGAAUUAAUAGACUGCGGUGAGGGACCACAAAAACAGCAGCCUCUGGAAAAAAACCAUUAAAAAAAAUCAGUGGCAGGUCCAAUAAAUAAUGCCACCUGCCCAGUGUAAUCUGCUGACUCAGUUUACUGGACUAUAAAAAGUGCCCAGUCCCCAUCUGACCUGAGUUCUCGUGCUGUCUGUGGGACCACCAGAGGUUUUGUCCUCUGUCCACCUGGAAGCUGGCUAUGGGAAUGUGGCCAUCUCGUGUCCCUCUUUGUCUGCUUCAAGUGUCUGCUGACUCUGCUCUGCCUUGUUUCCUGGCUGUAAACUAAUUCCAUCCAUCCUUAACGGAAACCUAAUCUGGCAUGGGGUGUUUCUGGGAAGCACAUGACUUCUGGGAAUGGACAAGGAAGGGGAGUGAAACCAAAACUGUCAUCUAUGUCUGUGGGGAUCUGGGUGAGGGUGGCCUCAUGAAUCUUGGAGUCGACUCCUCUUCAAGUAGGGACAGGCAUUUGGCCUCAAAGGUGAGGUCCUUGAAUGUUUGCUGAUAGAGUGUGCAUGAUCCUUACUCAAAUAUUUGUCAUCCAUCUAUAUGCAUUCACGUGUGCACACACGUGCGUGUGAUUUUGGGGCUAUCAGUGAAAACUGGAAGAUCGUCGGGGUUGCUUAUGCCCUUUUAGGGCCUAGUAACAGAAGGCCAGGCGAGACUGCACCACUGCUCAUCACCCUGCGGCGUGAUCCCUGCUCUUAGGUGCUGGGCAGAGGGGAGGGGCGGUCAGGGUAAGGAUGGAGAGGGAGGAGUGGUGAGGGCUCAGGAGGAGAAUGGGAAGAGCAGCAGUGUUGUAGUGAAGCAAUUUCUUUUCCAUGGAGUAGGAGUCCUAAAAAGUAUAAGCAAAGGGAAAAAUUGAUUUUUUAAAACACUGAUUGGAGGGUAUAAAUAGAAACAGGGAGAUGCAGUAUUAUUUCUAAGGAAUCACAUUGUCAUUUACUCCAGACUGGUGACGAUAUUUUUUAAAGCCAGUGCCCUGAGACCUCAGCUUUUAUCAGAACCUCAUGCCAGCCCAGGAAUGCAGAAAAUCACACUGUUGUCCUGUCUGUCCUGUAGCUUGGAACAGGGUAGGAGUUGACUACUAACCCUGGUUCCCCAUACCAUGAGAUCAAAAAGUCAUCUCCCCAUUUGAAAGAGAUAUAGAGUAUGUUCAUGGGGGUAGUGGCUCAGCAAAUCAGGUUUACUGGAGUCAUGGGGCAGGUGGAGCAGGCUGUUCUCACUCCCUUCCCAACUUACCACUGAUGUACCAGCCCACCGGUUCUCAUGGGUAAGCUCUCGACAGCCACCCAGCAUAUGCCACAGUCCUACACUCUUGCCUUCCUCCAUCCAUGUCAUGUGAAAGGACUCUUUUUAAUAAAUGAGCAAGUGUCCUAAGCAACAUUAUCCAGAGAUUGUCCUUUCCAUCCUCAAAUACUGUGACUGGGAUCACUCAACAGCACUGUGAUGUAUUAUUUUCAAUGAGGUGCCUUUCUUAACUGUCCAAAUGCUGUCUUGUUUGGCCCCUAAAUCAAUAAAGUGUGUUAAA